rnacentral:rRNA from 1 species
UACGUAGGGUGCGAGCGUUGUCCGGAAUUAUUGGGCGUAAAGAGCUUGUCGGCGGUUUGUCGCGUCUGCUGUGAAAAUCCGGGGCUCAACCCCGGACUUGCAGUGGGUACGGGCAGACUAGAGUGUGGUAGGGGAGACUGGAAUUCCUGGUGUAGCGGUGAAAUGCGCAGAUAUCAGGAGGAACACCGAUGGCGAAGGCAGGUCUCUGGGCCACUACUGACGCUGAGAAGCGAAAGCGUGGGGAGCAAACAGG